GUGAAGAAUUAGGGUUCGAUUUCGGAGAGGGAGCAUGAGAAACGGCUACCACAUCUAAGGAAGGCAGCAGGCGCGUAAAUUACCCAAUCCUGACUCAGGGAGGUAGUGACAAGAAAUAGCAAACCGGGAACCUCAUGGUUUCACGGUAUUGCAAUGAGAACAAUUUAAAACCCUUAGCGAGAAUCAAGUGGAGGACAAGUCUGGUGCCAGCACCCGCGGUAAUUCCAGCUCCACUAGCGUAUAUUAAAGUUGUUGCAGUUAAAAAGCUCGUAGUUGAACCUCUGUCUGGGGCUAGUUUUGGCUUUGGUCAGGCUAGUUCUAGGCAUCCGCCUACAAGACUUAGAGGGCAUUCAGUUGUUCACUAGGAGGAGUAGGCAUUUUACUUUGAAAAAAUUAGAGUGUUUAAGGCAGGCGAUCGCCCGCAUAUAUUAGCAUGGAAUAAUAGAAUAGGACACUUUUCCAUUUCGUUGGUUAUUGGAAUCGUGUAAUGAUUAAUAGGGACAGUUGUGGGCAUUUGUAUUUAAUUGUCAGAGGUGAAAUUCUUGGAUUUAUUAAAGACAAACUAACGCGAAAGCAUUUGCCAAGGAUGUUUUCAUUAAUCAAGAACGAAAGUUAGGGGAUCAAAGACGAUCAGAUACCGUCCUAGUCUUAACUAUAAACUAUUCCGACUCAAUGUUUGACUGGCUUAUAUAACCAGUUGAGCGUUGUAUGAGAAAUCAAAGUCUUUAGGUUCUGGGGGGAGUAUGGUUGCAAAGCUGAAACUUAAAGGAAUUGACGGAAGAGCACAACCAGGAGUGGAUUCUGCGGCUUAAUUUGACUCAACACGGGGAAACUUACCAGGUUAAAACAAUAGUGGGAUUGACAGUUUGAGAGCGCUUUCUUGAUUGGUUGGGUGGUGGUGCAUGGCCGUUCUUAGUUGGUGGAGUGAUUUGUCUGCUUAAUUGCGUUAACGAACGAGACCUUAACCUGCUUACUAGACUGGCGAUCAUCAAUCGUUAGCUCUUCUUAGAGGGACUUUGGUUGUUUUAACUCCAAGGAAGUUUGAGGCAAUAACAGGUCUGUGAUGCCCUUAGAUAUCCUGGGCCACACGCGUCAUACAAUGACUAGUUCAGAAAGUUUUCUCCUGACCCGAAAGGGGAUGGGUAAUCUUGGUAAUACUAGUCGUGUUAGGGAUCGAUCUUUGCAAUUAUAGAUCUUGAACGAGGAAUUCCUAGUAAGUGCGGUUCAUCAGACCGUACUGAUUACGUCCCUGCUCUUUGUACACACCGCCCGUCGCUUCUACCGAGUGGGUGGUCCGGUGAGAUAAUUGAACU
rnacentral:rRNA from 1 species